rnacentral:rRNA from 1 species
UACGGGGGGGGGUAAGCGUUGUUCGGAAUUACUGGGCGUAAAGGGCUCGUAGGCGGCCAACUAAGUCAGACGUGAAAUCCCUCGGCUUAACCGGGGGAACUGCAUCUGAUACUGGAUGGCUUGAGAUUGGGAGAGGGAUGCGGAAUUCCCGGUGUAGUGGUGAAAUGCGUAGAUAUCGGGAGGAACACCAGUGGCGAAGGCGACUACCUGGCCUGUUCUUGACGCUGAGGCGCGAAAGCUGGGGGAGCAAACGGGG